rnacentral:lncRNA from 1 species
CUGAGAUGUCCCAAGUGAACCGGCAGGUCACCCUAGUUUCCACAAAACGGAAGCCUGUCAUGGUCUCAUGAUGAGAGAGGCUGGGCUGCGCCCGGUGUGGGACCCACGGCGCCCCCAGAUUGCAGGCUUCUCCCGUCUCUGACCUGCUGCCCUCAGCAUGAGGCUGUCAUUGUUCAGGUGACUUCAUGGCCCAACAGGGCAGCCAGAGCGCCAGCCACCACAGGGCAGGUCCAAGAGGCAGGGAGGAGGGGCAAAGCGAGCAAAGUGUCGCUGGUCUGUCGCCUCUCACAGAAACUUCUGCUCAACACCACAGGGCCAUCAGGUCCCCAAUAUGGUGGCCAAGCACGUUGUCACUCAGCUGGAGAUCGGGGCUGUGCCAGGCAGGAGAAGGAGAGUGAGGAUGCUGGACGGACGACCCCAUGCGAGCCAACAGACAAGCCCGGCCUCUGCUCAGGCCUGUGCUGGGAGCUGCUCCUCCAAGCAGGGCACGGGGGCGGGCAACAGCAGCUGACUGGGCUGGUGAUCGGCACGCCGGGCAGACGAUGGGAUAUGACUCUGCUGGGACAGGGGACUGGUGAGGCACGGGCAAAGAUUUCUCUCUCACGUCCUUCGAGGGCUCUGGCCUGGCGGCUCCAGGCCCCACUGUCAGCUCUGCGAGUCUCCUUAGCGCGAGCCAGGGAAGGCAGAGUCACACAGCUCUGCGGGGAGCUCCUGUCCUGCUGGAGAGGCAGCCCUCUCCUCCCCACCUCGCCACCCCAGAGCUGAAGAGAGGAGCAGAGGAGAAGUCAGCCUCUGCUAACACCGACAACACACGGUGCCUGGAGUCUUGGCUGAAGACGGCUCUUCACGAGGACCGAUUCCUCGUUUGCUUGAAUUUUCCCGUUUGGAUUUCACCGUAAGCUGAAAGCUAUUAUAAUGCACGAUUGUACCUCCUGUUAUGUUUUUUGAAACUGAAUUAUCAUCAAGCAGCUGUGAACAGUUAUCUCCAACUGUAAUUCUUUUCUAAGUUAAAUUCUUCAGAGGAACAGGUAAACUGUGCUUUAAAUCAUUAGUUUAAAACUAAGCAGACAAAGCCAGGUAGGAUGGUGCACGCCUGCCAUCCCAGCACUCAGGAGGCUGAGGCAGAAGGAUCACUGCAAGUUCAAGGCCAGCCUGGGCUACAUAGUGAGACCCUGUCUCAAAACAAGCAAACAAAACUAACAGGCGAGACCUGAUACCAUGGGUUUCAGCAAGAG